UACGUAGGGUGCAAGCGUUGUUCCGGAAUUAUUGGGCGUAAAGGAGCUCGUAGGCGGUCUGUCGCGUCGGACGUGUGAAAACCUGGGGCUCAACUCCGGCCUGGCAGCCGAUACGGGCAGACGUAGAAUUCGGUAGGGGAGACUGGGAAAUUCCUGGUGUAGCGGUGAAAUGCGACAGAUAUCAAGGAGGAACACCGGUGGGCGAAGGCGGGUCUCUGGGCCGAUAAUCGACGCUGAGGAGCGGAAAGCGUGGGGAGCGAUCCGG
rnacentral:rRNA from 1 species